rnacentral:rRNA from 1 species
GCCUACGGGGGGCUGCAGUGGGGAAUCUUCCGCAAUGGGCGCAAGCCUGACGGAGCAACGCCGCGUGGGUGAGGAAGGCCUUCUGGUUGUAAAGCCCUGUCAAAUGGGAAGAAAGAAAUGACAGUACCAUAAGAGGAAGCCACGGCUAACUACGUGCCAGCAGCCGCGGUAAUAAGUAGGUGGCAAGCGUUGUCCGGAAUUACUGGGCGUAAAGGGCGAGUAGGCGGUUAAUUAAGUCAGGUGUGAAAACUGUGGGCUCAACCCAGAGAGUGCACCUGAUACUGAGUAACUUGCGUGCAGGAGAGGGCAGUGGAAUUCCUAGUGUAGCGGUGAAAUGCGUAGAUAUUAGGAGGAACACCAGUGGCGAAGGCGGCUGCCUGGACUGUAACUGACGCUGAGGCGCGAAAGCGUGGGGAGCAAACAGGAUUAGAUACCCUGGUAGUCAU